rnacentral:rRNA from 1 species
AGAUUGAACGCUGGCGGCGUGCCUAACACAUGCAAGUCGAGCGGUAACAGGUGUAGCAAUACAUGCUGACGAGCGGCGAACGGGUGAGUAAUGCUUUGGAAUCUUCCCAGUAGUGGGGAAUAACCAGUCGAAAGAUUGGCUAAUACCGCAUACGUCUGUAAAGGGAAAGCGGGGGCUCGUAAGACCUCGCGCUAUUGGAUGAGCCAAAGUCGGAUUAGCUAGUUGGUGAGGUAAUGGCCUACCAAGGCGACAAUCCGUAGCUGGUCUGAGAGGACGACCAGCCACACCGGGAACUGAGACACGGUCCGGACUCCUACGGGAGGCAGCAGUGGGGAAUAUUCGGCAAUGGGCGCAAGCCUGACCGAGCGACGCCGCGUGGGGGAUGACGCAUUUCGGUGUGUAAACCCCUUUCUGUGGGACGAGAAUGGACGGUACCACAGGAAUAAGUCUCGGCUAACUCUGUGCAGCAGCGC